UCAGCUGCUCGAUGCUGGUGUUGAUGCGGUCUCUGCGUAGUUUCUCUACCAUUGGCUUUCUCAGCUGAAGAAAAGAAGAGGAAAAAAAAGGUUGCCUAUCUGGAAACUCUGCCCACCAAUGGACGUAUUUCUCAUCCAGGAGGCACGUCCUCAGACAGAUGUUGUCCUCCACGUUCCCACCACAUAUCACUCCCAGUGGAUACAAUAACAAGGAUAUCUCCCUCAACAAGGGGCAAGCAAUGGGCCCCUCCCACCUGUUUGUUUGGAUUCGGGCCAUUGUACCCCAAUGAAUUCAACUAAUUCAUUCACAUCCUAUUGUAUUAAUGCUGCUUUGUGAUUGGCCAAACACUGUGAGAACCAACAUCACAUUAAAUCAGUGGGAAAGUUGGCAUAAGUAUAUAAAUGAGGGAGGUCUUUGUGGGUAAAAUCAUAACCCUGAACGUUUUCUUGUAACCCACACGGGCCUGGACUCGCGGGACGCCAUCCGACUGCAUAUCCGCCAUGAGGGAUCAACACACAACCCUGUGUAAGAUGAUGAAUUUGGAAAGGAAGUGCACAGACAGAGCAGUGAGGCUCCGCUCCACGUUAGAGAGCCAUCUAAGCACUGGAAUGAUCAGCUCUGACGUGUGGGACAAGACGGUCUCCUUUUUCACAGUGAAGAAGGCCUUCAUUUUCCAUAAUGGCUACACCAAAUCCUCCAGAGAGGCCAUGAGGCUGUUCCCCUCACCUUCUGAGGAUGUGUCGCCUUUGUGUUGCCAGUAAGAAGUGCACCGAAAGAGGGUUGAAAUACGAAGAGGAAUACAAAAUCUAGGGAUUUUUAUAAACUUUUUUCUCCAAAUGUCUUCUUAAGCACAAAUGGUGGAAAAGAUGGGAGUUCUCAUUAUCUGACUACCUGCACCAUGAUCCUAUUGGUCAUUGUACAGGCCCUAGAAAUGUGCAUGUUAUGCCUUAAACCUAAGUACUUCUUAGAACUUUAAGACCAUGUUAUUACAGUUUUAUUAAACUGAAAGUCAUAUUCCUUUGUAUAAAGGGUAAAAGUUAUUUUUAUGCCAAUGCAUACUUUUUGUAAAUGUUUAAGAUAUUGUCAGUCAUGUAUAAAAUUUGUUGCUGAAAGCCAUAAGUGAA